AUGGCCGGGAAGGGAGGCAAGGGCCUGCUCGCGGCCAAGACGACGGCCGCCAAGACCGCCGAGAAGGACAAGGGGAAGAAGGCCCCCAUCUCCCGCUCGUCCCGCGCGGGACUUCAGUUCCCUGUGGGCCGUAUCCAUCGUCAGCUGAAGCAAAGGACUCAGGCCAAUGGCCGUGUUGGUGCUACUGCGGCGGUCUACUCUGCUGCCAUCCUGGAGUACCUGACGGCUGAGGUCCUGGAGCUGGCUGGCAACGCCAGCAAGGAUCUCAAGGUGAAGCGUAUCACCCCUCGUCACCUCCAGCUGGCCAUCCGUGGAGACGAGGAGCUCGACACCCUCAUCAAGGGCACCAUUGCUGGUGGAGGUGUGAUCCCGCACAUCCACAAGUCCCUGAUCAACAAGUCUUCCAAAGAGUGA
rnacentral:rRNA from 1 species